UGGCAAAACCCACCAAGGUUGGUUAUGUUUGCUGGUGAAAUUGGAGUUGCUUUCGUGAUCAUUCCAAAUAAUUAAUGUUCUCCCAUCAGGCAUUGUGGGCUGCCAUAGAGUGUGACAUUCUUGCAAUCUCUGUCAAAGAGGAGGAUUUCAUAUCGGUGGUGGAAGCAAUGUUAGAUUAAUGAGCUUGGUGGCCAAACACUUCCAAGGGCAUUUCAGGGAUGUUAUAGUCGGUGAACAAAGCAAUGGCAGCCCAUUCAAGUGGUUGUGAUGGAAUGGAUGCAACCUCCUCUAGAAAGAUAUGGAUUCUGCUAUUUUGCCCAUUCAGCGGAGGCUGGAAUAGGAGGUAUAUUAUCAGAAACCUUGAAAAUAAGUUAUGUCAUGCUAUGCAGGGCUAAUGGGGUAGCAGACUCAAUAGAUGCACAACUUAGAGCAAGGAUAACAGAAUGAAAUUGUAAAAAAGAAUGCAGAAUCACUUACUUUGGAGUAUGAUCCUGGGGAGGUGGCAAAGGAUGAGAAAGCGAGAGUUUAAUGGCAUUUGCGAAAUUUAAUCAAAUGUACUUGAUCAUUAGUAACUGGAAUGAAUAUUGAAUUGUUGGGUGUUUACAUC